CGUCAACAACAGACGCUCGCCGUCCUGGGUUAGUAGAACAUCUACAUACCUCGUUAUGCAGAUGGAAGGAGACUUGGACGCUACAUCAUAAUGUGUACCCUUGACAAAUUCACGUUCUACAUGAAGCAGCCUGUGAAACGGACGAACCUGGAAACACGUUGAAGGCUGCGUGGACUUAAGCAAUUAAACUUGGAAGUUCCACCUGAUACACAGUCCUGCAGAGAAAAUGGCUGAGUACGUGAACCUUUCCUGCCUAUACGAACAGAAUUGGAGCAUAAUAAAACCACCAUCUGCUUUAUGAGAAUUUUAAUCGAACUUCCGAGUUUCGGGACGCUCUUUCAAUUGGUCUUUAGUCACUACAAGUCCACUCGACGUCAUAAUCCAGAACAACUAGUAACAAUUUCUUGUG